rnacentral:rRNA from 1 species
UGGGGAAUUUUGGACAAUGGGGGAAACCCUGAUCCAGCCAUCCCGCGUGUGCGAUGAAGGCCUUCGGGUUGUAAAGCACUUUUGGCAGGAAAGAAACGUCAUGGGUUAAUACCCCGUGAAACUGACGGUACCUGCAGAAUAAGCACCGGCUAACUACGUGCCAGCAGCUGCGGUAAUACGAAGGGUGCAAGCGUUAAUCGGAAUUACUGGGCGUAAAGCGUGCGCAGGCGGUUCGGAAAGAAAGAUGUGAAAUCCCAGAGCUCAACUUUGGAACUGCAUUUAUAACUACCGAACUAGAGUGUGUCGGAUGGAGGUGGAAUUCCGCGUGUAGCAGUGAAAUGCGUAGAUAUGCGGAGGAACACCGAUGGCGAAGGCAGCCUCCUGGGAUAACACUGACGCUCAUGCACGAAAGCGUGGGGAGCAAACAGG